rnacentral:rRNA from 1 species
GUUGUAUAGUUAAGUGACUAAGCGUACAAGGUGGAUGCCUUGGCAAUCAGAGGCGAAGAAGGACGUGCUAAUCUGCGAAAAGCUUGGAUGAGUCGAUAAGAGGCGUUUAAUCCAAGAUAUCCGAAUGGGGAAACCCAGUAGAUGAAGAAUCUACUAUCAACAAGUGAAUACAUAGCUUGUUGAGGCAAACCGGGAGAACUGAAACAUCUAAGUACCCCGAGGAAAAGAAAUCAACCGAGAUUUCGUCAGUAGCGGCGAGCGAAAGCGAAAGAGCCAGUAAGUGAUAGCAGUAUAGUUAGGAGAAUGUGUUGGGAAGCACAAUCAAAGAGGGUGAUAAUCCCGUAUCUAAAAACCAUAUUGUGGUACUAAGCUAACGAGAAGUAGGGCGGGACACGUGAUAUCCUGUUUGAAGAAGGGGGGACCAUCCUCCAAGGCUAAAUACUCCUGAUUGACCGAUAGUGAACCAGUACUGUGAAGGAAAGGCGAAAAGAACCCCGGUGAGGGGAGUGAAAUAGAACCUGAAACCUUGUACGUACAAGCAGCGGGAGCCUGAAAGGGCGACUGCGCACCUUUUGCAUAACGGGCCAGCGACUUAUAUUUUGUAGCGAGGUUAACCGAAUAGGGGAGCCGAAGGGAAACCGAGCCUUAACUGGGCGACGAGUUGCAAGGCAUAGACC